UCUCCGUUGGUGAACCAGCGGAGGGAUCAUUAAAGAGUUGCAAAACUCCCUUCAUACCAUCGCGAACGCUACCCGAUUCUCAUUGCUUCGGCGGGGGUCCCCUCUCCAAAACGGGAGCCCCCGCCGGAGGAACGCAGCCAUAUACUCUUGUAUUUGUUGGCCUCUCUGAGUACGAUUUAUGCGAAUAAGUCAAAACUUUCAACAACGGAUCUCUUGGUUCUG
rnacentral:misc_RNA from 1 species